UAUGUGAUCGUCUCUCGCAUAUCAAUAAGCGGAGGAAAAGAAACUAACAAGGAUUCCCCUAGUAACGGCGAGUGAAGCGGGAAGAGCUCAAAUUUGAAAUCUUAAAGGGUUUCCCUUUACGAAUUGUAGUUUAAAGAAGUGUUUUCUGUUGAGGUUUUGGUAAAAGUUCUUUGGAAUAGGACAUCAUAGAGGGUGAGAAUCCCGUAUUUGACCUUUACUUUCAACUUUGUGAUACACUUUCAAAGAGUCCGGAUUGUUUGGGAAUGCAGUCCAAAAUGGGUGGUAAAUUUCAUCUAAAGCUAAAUAUUGGCGAGAGACCGAUAGCGAACAAGUACCGUGAGGGAAAGAUGAAAAGAACUUUGAAAAGAGAGUUAAACAGUACGUGAAAUUGUCAAAAGGGAAGCGUUUGACACCAGUGUUGUUUUUCUGAAAAUCAAUUAAAGAACUGUUUAUGCUAAGUUGUUUAGACUUUAUCAGCUAACUGUUUAGUUUUGAGCUUUUCUUUAAUGCACUUUUCAGUUAACAAGUCAACAUCAAUUUCUUUUGCUGUAAAAAAGCUUGAGGAAGGUGGCUUGAGAUUCGUCUUAAGUGUUUAUAGCCUCUUGCCUAUGCAGUCGGAGAGAUUGAGGUCUGCAGCGUAGAUCCUUCGGGGCUAAAUGCAUUUGUGCUAAGUUAUAGCAUUUUAUAGACAACUUGUUGACUAUGAUUUGUCUUGUAGCUUACUCGCUUAUGUUAUUUUACCUACGCUUAGGAUGUUGAACGCGCACAGAGUCUC
rnacentral:rRNA from 1 species